rnacentral:rRNA from 1 species
GACGAACGCUGGCGGCGUGCCUAAUACAUGCAAGUAGAACGCUGAAGGAGGAGCUUGCUUCUCUGGAUGAGUUGCGAACGGGUGAGUAACGCGUAGGUAACCUGCCUGGUAGCGGGGGAUAACUAUUGGAAACGAUAGCUAAUACCGCAUAAUAGUAGAUGUCGCAUGACAUUUGCUUAAAAGGUGCAAUUGCAUCACUACCAGAUGGACCUGCGUUGUAUUAGCUAGUUGGUGAGGUAACGGCUCACCAAGGCAACGAUACAUAGCCGACCUGAGAGGGUGAUAGGCCACACUGGGACUGAGACACGGCCCAGACUCCUACGGGAGGCAGCAGUAGGGAAUCUUCGGCAAUGGACGGAAGUCUGACCGAGCAACGCCGCGUGAGUGAAGAAGGUUUUCGGAUCGUAAAGCUCUGUUGUAAGAGAAGAACGAGUGUGAGAGUGGAAAGUUCACACUGUGACGGUAUCUUACCAGAAAGGGACGGCUAACUACGUG